rnacentral:misc_RNA from 1 species
ACAUAAGCUGAUUGCAGAUGCAGGCACUUUUGAGUUCUUAGCAUAGUUACUGUUGUCGUCACCACCUUGCAUACAGAAGUACACAAAGAAAUAGAUUGAAAGAAAGUGAAACAAAAAAGAAUGAUGGAUGAAGAAAUUUUAGAGGGAGGUUGGUUGUUUAUAGGUGGUUAUCUUCUUGUGCCAAACCCAAGAUAAAUGGAUUAGCUUGUGUUUUUGCUUGUAUAUAAGAGUAUCUAGUUAAUAAAAACUGUGUGCAAG